rnacentral:rRNA from 1 species
UACGUAGGGGGCAAGCGUUAUCCGGAUUUACUGGGUGUAAAGGGGGCGCAGACGGCAAUGCAAGCCAGGAGUGAAAGCCCGGGGCCCAACCCCGGGACUGCUCUGGAAACUGCCAGGCUAGAGUGCUGGAGAGGUAAGUGGAAUUCCUAGUGUAGCGGUGAAAUGCGUAGAUAUUAGGAGGAACACCAGUGGCGAAGGCAGCUUACUGGACGAUCACUGACGCUGAGGCUCGAAAGCGUGGGGAGCAA